GAAAUGCGAUAAGUAAUGUGCAUUGCAGAAUUCAGUGAAUCAUCGAAUCUUUGAACGCACAUUGCGCCCGCCAGCACUCUGGCGGGCAUGCCUGUUCGAGCGUCAUUUCAACCCUCAGAACCCCUUGCGGGAUCUGGCGUUGGGGAUUGGCAUCCAGCCAGCCCCGAAAUCUAGUGGCGGUCCCUCCGCGACCUCCCCUGUGCAGUAGCGAUACCUCGCAGCGGGACAGCGGUCUGACCACGCCGUAAAACCCCCAACUUCUCAAGGUUGACCUCGAAUCAGGUAGGAAUACCCGCUGAACUUAAGC
rnacentral:misc_RNA from 1 species